CCUACGGGAGGCAGCAGUGGGGAAUUUUGGACAAUGGGCGCAAGCCUGAUCCAGCAAUGCCGCGUGAGUGAAGAAGGCCUUCGGGUUGUAAAGCUCUUUUGUCAGGGAAGAAACGGUGAGGGCUAAUAUCUCUUGCUAAUGACGGUACCUGAAGAAUAAGCACCGGCUAACUACGUGCCAGCAGCCGCGGUAAUACGUAGGGUGCAAGCGUUAAUCGGAAUUACUGGGCGUAAAGCGUGCGCAGGCGGUUUUGUAAGUCUGUCGUGAAAUCCCCGGGCUCAACCUGGGAAUUGCGAUGGAGACUGCAAGGCUAGAAUCUGGCAGAGGGGGGUAGAAUUCCACGUGUAGCAGUGAAAUGCGUAGAGAUGUGGAGGAACACCGAUGGCGAAGGCAGCCCCCUGGGUCAAGAUUGACGCUCAUGCACGAAAGCGUGGGGAGCAAACAGGAUUAGAUACCCUGGUAGUCCACGCCCUAAACGAUGUCUACUAGUUGUCGGGUUUUAAUUAACUUGGUAACGCAGCUAACGCGUGAAGUAGACCGCCUGGGGAUACGGUCGCAAGAUUAAAACUCAAAGGAAUUGACGG
rnacentral:rRNA from 1 species